ACUCCUGCGGGAGGCAGCAGUGGGGAAUUUUGGACAAUGGGCGCAAGCCUGAUCCAGCCAUGCCGCGUGCGGGAAGAAGGCCUUCGGGUUGUAAACCGCUUUUGUCAGGGAAGAAAAGGUUCUGGCUAAUACCUGGGACUCAUGACGGUACCUGAAGAAUAAGCACCGGCUAACUACGUGCCAGCAGCCGCGGUAAUACGUAGGGUGCAAGCGUUAAUCGGAAUUACUGGGCGUAAAGCGUGCGCAGGCGGUUAUGCAAGUCAGAGGUGAAAUCCCCGGGCUCAACCUGGGAACUGCCUUUGUGACUGCAUGGCUAGAGUACGGUAGAGGGGGAUGGAAUUCCGCGUGUAGCAGUGAAAUGCGUAGAUAUGCGGAGGAACACCGAUGGCGAAGGCAAUCCCCUGGACCUGUACUGACGCUCAUGCACGAAAGCGUGGGGAGCAAACAGGAUUAGAUACCCGAGUAGUCCCAUGAU
rnacentral:rRNA from 1 species